rnacentral:misc_RNA from 1 species
CACAUGUGGGAAAUUGCUCUGUGAAUGCCUUUAUGAAGAAUGAACUCCCAGCCACCAAGUGGUCAGCCAGGGCCGGCCCCUGUGGCGCCAACUGCAACAUCCACACCAGCACCAGCAACCACAGCAACAUCAGUUCCAACCACACCAACAUUAAUCACACCAAUGCCAACUUUACCAACAACAAUGGCUACCAUACCAACACCAAUGCCCACUUUAACGAAAGAAACCAGUCAACCUCCUGCCAAGAAGAUGAAGCUUGGCACACCACCAUCAGUUGUUCAUGAAUCUGCAGCUAGCAUUUCUUGCCCGGCAUCUAAGGUCUUGACCAAUCAGACGUCAUCAGUAUUGACCAAUCAGACACCACCAAUUGCGACCAAUCAGAUGUCAUCAUUUCCUCCAGGUACCAUCAGCCUGACUAUCACCAAUGGUGUUAUCAACCUGAACGCACCACCAGGUGGUGUUGCGGGAAAGGCGUCCAGUGUCCCCCCAGGUCUGCGGGGUGCCCAGUCCACAGUCCUAGCAGGGGUAGCAGGAAGUCUGGUGAAGGGUCCGAGAUCUCGCAUGCCCUUAAAGGGCCACUCUCAGCAAGCAGGAGGGAUGUUAGCUACCAGUAUGCCCUUAAAGGGACACCCACAGCAAGCAGGAGGGAUGUUAGCUACAAGUAUGCCCUUAAAGGGACACCCACAGCAAGCAGGAGGGAUGUUAGCUACAAGUAUGCCCUUAAAGGGACACCCCCAACAAGCAUCCAGCUCACCCAACACCAUGGUAACAAGUCACACACAGCUCAAGAUUCCCAACCCUUCUACAUUCCCCAUGCGAGGCCCCACUCCCAUUCUUUCCCCCAGCCAGGCCCUGCCCCCGGGGGCCACCUUGACCGUGACUCUUCCUGCUCGCACAUCUGUGCCCCUACAGACAGUGGCUACAAUAGGGCAGCCCAUCAUGACCGCAGGAAUGACCGUCAAGGCACUCGCUCAGGAUGGCACCAGUCACUCGGCCCCUGGUCAUUCCAUUCCGUUACAGCACAUGUCAGCUCUUCCUCGACAACCCGGUGCAGCUCGUCCUCAACAUCAGGUUACGUUACAUCCACUGACACUGUUACCACGACAACCUCUGCACCCACAAAGACAGCAGCUAUUGCAACGCCCGACCCGAUUUGCCCAACAGCCGAUAAACCUGCAGAACGCUCGACUGCCAGCCACCCAUCCCAGCUUGCGUCCAGUGUCUGCACCACAGCUUACCUUCCAGAUUGCACCUGGAUCAUCUCAGGCAGCACAAAGUCUCGGUCCAGGUCAACAGCUACUGCAACAAAGGCCACAGUUACUUGCUCAGGCUCGUCCACAGCUGGUGAUUCAGACAGCUCGGCCUCUGGUGCCAAGCACCCAGGUGACCAGCCCCAUGCUGCACUCUCCUCUCCUUCUGAAGGAUCCCAUGCAGCAAGCAAUGGUUCACACACCCAUCAUCCUGAAGGACCCACCUCCAUACCCAGGGGUGAAGGCGGACGGCAUCACACAGAUGGUGCUGCAGGCCCAGCAGGGCAUGUCAGGCGGGGUCAUCAUGACCUCGGAUCCCAACAUCCGACCCCAAAAUGUCAUCGUGCCACCCCCUGUUCCGUCUUCCUUAGAAGCAGAAAGUGCUGGAAAGCCUGCACCAACAGCAGUUAUUGCACCAACUACGGAUGUAGUUCAUGGGGAUGCAAGAACAGCCAUGGAUGCCAGCGAGACAAAGAAUGACGGAAGAGAUGCUACUGGAGCACAGAGAGGUCCCGAGGCACAUGGAGCAACUGAGGCACGCAAGGGUCCCGAGACAGCUGGGGAAGAGAACAAGACAAAGGAAGCAGGCAGCCAGCCAAAGAAUCAGGUCAACGAACAGAAUCAGUCCAAUGUUAAGAAUCAGUCCGGUGAACUGAAUCAGUCUGGUGUCCAGAGUCAGUCCAAUGACCAGGGUCGGGCUGAAGCAGCUAAGGGGAACUCUGGGAGGCAGAAUCGAGAUGAUGCAGCAACAGAGGAACCUGCUGACCCGAUGGAUGCCAUGGUGUGGGAGGAUGGAGUGGCUACACUGCCUGGCAGCGACUUCAAGUUUAAGAUAAACGAGUUUGGUGCUAUGGAGUUAAUCACAGACGAUGGUGCUGACAUCGAGAGUGCAAGAAACUCAGCAGCCAUUACCAACAACAACCAUUUGUCCGCAGCCCCUGUAGAUGGGCAGCAGCAGCAGCAGCAGCAGCAGAGUGAUCCUCGACCUGACACCACCAAGCCCUGUGACACCACCAUGGCCUGUGUGGACACUACAGCCACAGUAGUGAAGGUGGAACCAGGGACGGAAACAGGAAGUGAAGUGGUUGCUGUGAAGGAGCGUGUGGGUCCAGGACGACCAAGGUUGUUGAUGGGGAUGAAGAAAAAGAAACGCAAAUUAAUGAUGGGAGAUGAUGGUCGGCCAAAACUAAAAAUCAGCAUUCCUGGAAAUGAAGAAGAUGGUUUGAGUAAACUUCCCACCGCGCCAGGUCGCAAGUCACGGACAUUUUCCUGGACCCAGUAUCUCGAGGAGGAGAACGCAGUGGAGGCACCUUCCAAAUUUUUCAAAAAUCCAUUCCCAGCCAGCCAGAAGCCUGGGUUCAAGGUUGGGAUGAAGCUGGAAGGCAUCGACCCCCGCCACCAGUCUCUCUACUGCGUGUUGUCAGUAGCAGAGCUGCAGGGACAUCGCAUACGGCUACACUUUGAUGGCUACUCGGAGUGCUACGACUUCUGGGCCAUGGCUGACUGCGCCUUCCUCUUCCACGCAGGCUGGUGUGAGAAGAACGGCAAAACUCUCCAGCCCCCCAAAAAUUAUGCACCAGAAGGGUUUUCCUGGAACACCUAUCUGAAGAUGUCGAGGGCACCAGCGGCACCCAAGUCCCUCUUCAUCAACCUGCCUACAACAAUGGUGACCCCUACAGCAUUCCGAGUGGGCAUGAAACUGGAGGCAGUGGACAAGAAAAACGUCAACCUAAUCUGUGUUGCCACGGUGACGGACACGUUAGGGGAGAAAGUGCUGAUCCACUUCGACGGCUGGGAGGAUAGCUAUGAUUACUGGUGUGACAUCACAUCCCCCUUCAUACACCCUGUCGGCUGGUGUCAAGAGAACGCUCGGGCUCUCUCUCCUCCAUUUGACACGAAGGAUAUAGAGAAGUUCACCUGGGAGGACUACCUGCAACAGACCAAGUCUUCUGCCGUCCCGGCAAGAGCUUUCAAACCACGCCCCCAGGUGGGGUUUGACCCCGGCAUGAAGGUCGAAGUAGUGGACCGUCGCAAUCCAAGACUGAUGCGUGUGGCUACUAUAGCUGAGGCAGAAAACUACCAGGUGAGGAUCCAUUUCGAUGGCUGGUCCGACGUCUACGACUACUACCUGGAAGAUGAUAGCUUGGAGAUCCGCCCGGUCGGUUGGUGCCGCAAGACAGGACAUGUCCUCGAACACCCUCUCAGUCCAUCGGAGCUAGCGUCCUCCCCCAGUCAAGGUGGGUGUCCCACCCCCGGGUGCAGGGGUGUCGGCCACAUAAAGGGGGCCAAGUAUGUCGGCCAUCACAGUGCAUUCGGCUGCCCGUAUUCUACGAUGAACAUGAACAAGGAGACAACACUGCAAGACCGCCUCGGCUCCACCCGGUCCGAGGAUUCUCUCCCCACCCCGUUGUCAGCUCGCAGCAAGCUGGACUACCCCUCAUCACCGGAGGCCAAGAGAUGUCCCACCCCAGGCUGUGAUGGGUCGGGUCACAUCACGGGCAAGUUUACCGCUCAUCAUAAGUUGUCUGGCUGUCCUCUGGCAGAGAAAAACCUUCUCAAGUUCAAACAGAAAGAAGACAGUCCUCCAAAGCCAUAUUUUGGUGCCAAACGAGGCCGAAAAAGACACAAGUUCCUGAGGUUUGGUGAGCGUGUAGAACGACCGUUCCGUGUCAAGGAAGAGAUCAGGGAAGACACUGAGGCUGUUCACCAGGAGAUCCACCAGUCGGUCUUCAUGUCGGCCAUGGCUCCCAACCCUGCCCGUGACCUCCCUCUGUGCUGGGAGCAGCACUCUAAGCUGUUGCCUGGUGUGGACAAGAUCAGGGCGGGCACCGUGUCCAAGUGGACCAUCACGGAGGUGGCUGACUUUGUGCAGACUCUACCAGGAUGUGAGGAACAGGGCAAGGUCUUUCAGGAGGAGCAAAUUGAUGGAGAAGCAUUCCUUCUCUUGAAUCAAACUGAUAUUGUGAAGAUCAUGAACAUAAAGCUUGGUCCUGCUCUCAAGAUCUUCAACAGCAUACUCAUGUUCAAAAGUGCCAAUGAAGCGUGAUGCAGACGGGCAUAGGACAAGCAUCAUGCUGGGUUACCCAACACAUAGUGUAGCAUAAUAAGCAGGAUGGAUGUUGUCGUAGUCCCGUAGAGGUCAAGGUCAGCUGCUGGCUGUAGAUGUAGUUCACUGUGUAAAACACAGAAUAGGGCGUGUGACACACAUAAUGUGCGACAUACGUAAUGUGCGACAUACAUAAUGUGAGACAUACGUAAUGUGCGACGCACGUAAUGUGCGACACACGUAAUGUGAGACAUACGUAAUGUGCGACACACGUAAUGUGAGACAUACGUAAUGUGCGACACACAUAAUGUGAGACAUACGUAAUGUGAGACAUACGUAAUGUGAGACACACGUAAUGUGCGACACACGUAAUGUGAGACAUACGUAAUGUGCGACACACGUAAUGUGCGACACACGAAAUGUGAGACAUACGUAAUGUGCGACGCACGAGUGAGCACCAUGUUGUAAUGUGUGAAGAGUGUUGUAAUGUACAAGACAUGGUCGGGUGAAUACAGGAAAUGCCUUUGUGUUUGAGAUACGUGGAAUUGAGUUUUAUCAGUGACACGUGCCAUGGUCUGGCAUCAGCCACAGAAGACUCGGGAUGGCAUAAGUGUAAUGUGACAGUCGGCAGCUGUGAAGAUCUGUAUGUGUGUUAACUGACAUCUCUCUGUAUGACGGAGUGUGAGUGACUGAAACUGCUUUGUGUCAGUGAUAAUCUGAGGUCAUGAUGGGGUCUUUGCAACAUUGUGUAAACUGGCAGCAUGACUUCAAGUGAUAACUCCAUGCAUAAUGAGUGAAGGUGAUGACUUGGUGCUGUCUGAGACAUAAUACAGGAACCAUACUCACGCUGUGUUGGAGAGUACAAGUGAUAGAACCAGUUCUUGUGUGAUGUCUACUGGUGAUACAGGUGAUAGUUUAUGCAUUCUUGUUCUCAUAGAGUCUGGAGAUACUGUUACAGCUUGUUGUUUGGUUGCACUGCAUGUGUAAGUAAAAUGUGAAUGCAUGUUGAUGGAGGUUACAGCAAAAUGUGCACCUUAUUUCCUUAUUUCUUUGCACUUCUCACUGACCUCUGGUCGUAGUGCAGACCUUAACUAGGACGAGUAUAAAAUGCUCAGAAAAUGUAAUUCUAGCCUUUGUGGAUGACAUUGCAACAGUUGGCUGACCCCUAGAGGUGACCUUGCUACAGUGGGCUGACCCUUGAGGUGACAUUGCUACAGUUGGCUGACCCCUAGAGGUGGGUUGACCCCUGGAGGUGACAUUACUACAGUUGGCUGACCCCUGGAGGUGACCUUGCUACAGUGGGCUGACCCUUGAGGUGACAUUGCUACAGUGGGCUGACCCCUAGUGGUGACACUAGCAGUGAUCGUACUACCUAGCUAAUCUCUAGAAUGGUACAGAAUGUACACUUCACAAGGUAACCAGUGUACCUUUGACUGAUCUGUAGUGGUCAUAGGCUUACCACCAGAGGGGUGACCUUCUUGUCUGAGAUACACCUCUAGAGGUGCCCUUGGUGCCUGAGUGCUAGUAGGGGUGACUUUGGUACCUGAGCUUGCUUGAUAAGAUGACCUUGGUACCUGAGUGCUUGUCGAGGUGACCUCAGUACCUGAGAGCUUGUAGAAGUGACCUCGGUACCUGAGUGCUUGUAGAGGUGCCCUCGGUACCUGAGUGCUUGUAGAGGUGCCCUCGGUACCUGAGUGCUUGUAGAGGUGAUAUCGGUACCUAAGAGCUUGUAGGGGUGACCUCGGUACUUGAGUGCUCGUAGAGGUGACCUAGGUACCUGAGUGCUUGUAGAGGUGACCUCGGUACCUGAGUGCUUGUAGAGGUGCCCUCGGUACCUGAGUGCUUGUAGAGGUGAUCUCGGUACCUAAGAGCUUGUAGAGGUGACCUCGGUACCUGAGUGCUUGUAGAGGUGACCUUGGUACCUGAGUGCUUGUCAAGGUGACCUUGGUACCUGAGCUUGUAGAGGUGACCUUGGUACCUGAGUGCUUGUAGAGGUGACCUUGGUACCUGAGUGCUUGUAGAGGUGACCUCGGUACCUUAGCGCAUUUAGAGGUGACUUUGGUACCUCAGCUUGCUUGUCGAGGUGACCUUGGUACCUGAUUGCCUGUAGAGGUGACCUCGGUACCUCAGCUUGCAUGUAGAGAUGACCUCGGUACCUGAGCUUGUAGAGAUGACCUUGGUACCUGAUUGCCUGUAGAGGUGACCUCGGUACCUGAGCUUGCAUGUAGAGAUGACCUUGGUACCUGAGUGCUUGUAGAGGUGACCUUGGUACCUGAGCUUGCUUGUCGAGGUGACCUUGGUACCUGAGUGCUUGUCGAGGUGACCUUGGUACCUGAGCGCUUGUAGAGAUGACCUUGGUACCUGAUUGCCUGUAGAGGUGACCUCGGUACCUGAGCUUGCAUGUAGAGAUGACCUUGGUACCCGAGCUUGUAGAGGUGACCUUGGUACCUGAGUGCUUGUAGAGGUGAUCUUGGUACCUGAGUGCUUGUAGAGGUGACAUAGGUACCUGAGCUUAGUUGCAGAGGUGACUUUGGUACAUGGUAUAACCCCUAGAAGCAACCUUUGAACAAGAGGCUUUAUAUGUUGAGUAAUUCCUAGUGCCUUCAUAAGAGGCAAUCUGUGACCUGGCAGGAUCAUUAUGGUGGACAGCUCCGGUGGCUGUGUAGAGGGUGGUCUGUUGAUUGUUUCUAUAGCCCAGUGGGACUUUGUACUACUAUUGUUUCUAUUAUUAUUGUUAUUGCCUUACUGGUAUCUGCUGACAGCUAACAGUGCUCAAAUCUGGGGAUAUGUUAUUGAGGGUACACUAGAUGCUAGUGAUAUGGGAGAGACUAGAUGCCAGUGAGAUUGGUAAAUGCUAGCAUUAUGGGUGGGGAACACACACUAGUGAUAUGCAAGGAGUACACACACUAGUGAUUAGGGUGGGAUACGCAUGUGUAAUGAUGGUAGGAUUCAAAAGAUGUUUAAUGAUAUUAGUGCAGUACACAGGCGUGAUAUGUUUAAGGGGGACACACAUUUGUGAUAUCGGUGGGGUACAAACGUGUAGUGUCUGUGGGAUCCAAAAGAUGCUAUUGAUAUUAGUGGGGUACACAAACUCCUGAUAUUGUUUGAGGGAUACAUACACUAGUGAUAUGGGAGGGGUAAACUAGAUGCUAGUGAUAUGGGUGGGUUUCACAAGAUGCCGUUUAUGUGGGAGGGGUACACACUUGUGAUGUGGGUGGGUACAUCGAUGGGAGUUGAUGCAUUGGGUGUUGCACACCAGAAGGACAUGGGUAUCUAUGGAGAGGGAUGGGUCUUGUGGGUGAUGCUUUGUUAGGUCUUACUGAAGAUGUUUCUUGAGGGUGAAAAAACUUGUAUUCAACACAUUCAUCUUUGUCUCAAAUAAAAGAUUUUUAUUCACCA